AUACAAUGUACAAUGUAAAUGUUAGUUAGUCUCACAUUGGUUAGAAAGGAAAACAUUCCUCUCAAAUUAGGCUAUAAAUAGGAUACCUCUCUUGUAAACAAAUCAUACUAUUCAAUACAAUUCUCUUCUCUUUGUAUUGUCUUAUUUUCUCUGGUUCGUUGAUAUCACCAGUAACAUAACGUCAAGCUUUCUGCCCUUAAGAAAGCUUGACAUAGCCUGAGUCCAUGUAGUGUAGUUGAGUCCUUCCAUGACAAUGGCAAUAAGUUGUGAGGCCUCAAGAUGCUCCAUAAUGUACACGAAAUUAGAAGAAGAUAGAGAUAAAAAUAACAUGAAUCGAACUGAACUGGUUAGGAAAUGACUGAUAGAGUGAUGGCUAAGAUGAUGUCGAUGGAGAGUAAGACUCCGACUAUAGCAACGACCUAAAAGGUAUGAAAAGGAUAUACAAGAGGUUUUCUGAUGUGAAGGAUCCACUAAUAGUGGCAAUCACAGAGCAUACUCAACUCUUGAUAUAUCGAGAACACUAAGAAUAGUAGCUCUGAUACCAAGUUAAAUUUAAGAGAGAAAAUAAGACAAUACAAAGAGAAGAGAAUUGUAUUGAAUACUGUGAUUUGUUUACAAGAGAGGUAUCUUAUUUAUAGCCUAAUUUGAGAGGAAUGCUUUCCUUUCUAAUCAAUGUGGGACUAACUAACAUUCACAUUGUACAUUGUAUAUACAUUAACACUUAGUAUCUCAUAUCUUGGCCCGACUAGCAUAGAAUAAUAGCACGUGAAUGGUUAUCAGAUUUGUUGGGAGGGCCUGAUUGAGUUGAACAAAAGGAAGCUCCAGCUGCAGUGGGAAAGGGUAAAUAUAACGGUUUGAAUUUUAUUAUCUAUGGACAUCUCCAUGUACGAAUAGUGCACGGGGAUUCCACUUUGUAAUUUAUCUGAAU
rnacentral:lncRNA from 1 species